rnacentral:rRNA from 1 species
CGCCGGCCGAACCGUUCGGCCGGAUCGCACGCCACGCUGGCCCAGCGUCCACCAAAACACCCCCGAAAACAAAACGUGUGUACGCGGUGGGCCGCACACAACUUUCCCUCUUCUAUCCUUAUCCCUUAUCUUUUCUUCUACCUUCAGCCGCGACUCCACAACCACGUUUCCUCUCUCCUCGUCGCUGCUCACGAACCAGUGCAAGCUCCUCACGCCGCCGACCGCCGUCGUCGCUGCCGUUCCAUCGCUCCUGCUCUCCGGCCACCCGUGCAGACCACGCUCAUCCCUCGGCCGCCCCAUACUUCUGUCAUAAGACUACAGCUCACCCGCCAGCCGGUUCCAGCUCGCGGCCACCAUGGCCGCAGCAUCUCCCCGCGUCGCCGCCUCCGCUCCUCGCUGUCGUCCAUGGUCACAGCGAAGACAAUAAGUUUGAAGCUUUUUUCAAUUCCGGUUGUAGCUUUUGUAAACGCCGGUCGCAGCUUUUCGUCCGUAGUCCAUGGCUUCCGGCUCCACGGUUGAAACUUUUUUCAUGGCCGUAUGAAGCUUUUUUCGUCAUCAGAUGAAGCUUUUCUGUCAGCGGUUGUAACCUUUCUUUUUUGGUUGUCAUAGGUUUCUUCGUACAUGAGUUAAAACUUUUUUUCAUAGCCGGUUGAAGCUUUUCACGUCAGCGGUUGUAGCCUUUUUGCUCGUUGUAGCUGCAACCACAUGAUGAUGAUGCGACCUGACAACGACGACGAUGUGUUUUUUUGCUACAAACACGUCAUUUUUUGCUGCAACCGGCAACCAUGGAAGCUACAUCCGAUUAACAUUUUUGCUACAAUGGCGACACUGAUGGAUCUUUUUUGCUGCAACCGUUGUUUUCAUUUGCUACGACUGACACGGGAAAAUGCUACCACGGGGCAUCUCUGUAUUUUGCUGAAAUCAAUCAUCGGUGAGGCGGAGCUGCAUCCAUGGCACUCCGGCGAGUGGCAGGGCCGGGGCAGCGAGUGGUCCGAGCGAGCUGAGUCCCGGAGCGCGGGACGGCCCUGACGGGCGGCCGGGGCGGCGAAUGGUCUGGACGAGCUGAGUGCGGAGCUGCAUCCAUGGCGAUCCAACGGGCGGCCAAGGCGGCGAGCGGUCAGCUCCAACCGGCGACCGGGACGGCGAGCGGCCGGAGCGAGCUGAGUGCCGGAGCGUGGGGCGGCCCCGACGGGCGGUCGGUGCGGCGAGCGCUCAGGGAGACGACGAAAAGCGAGGAGGCCACAAGAACAAGUGCCUCGCUGCCAAGGCGACGGCACCGUCCCCGGCACGGACUGGAAGGAAUUACCGCAACUCACUUCAAUAAUUCGUCAUCGGCGAUGCCCCUAAACAAAGACCAUCCAGCGAAUCGUUUCUAGCAAGAGCAGAAGAAGAGAAGAUCAGCAAUAGAAAAGGUACAGAGAUCGUGCCAAUUCUCAAAGUGAAGGACUCCAUCCACAGGAUACUCACGGGACAACAGCGCCCUCAACCAUGGCCUUCGGCUUGAUUUCACAUGGCUUGGCGGCGAGGCCGUGCCCAGCCCGCCUCCAUGCGACACGGCCGCUCAUGGCGCAAUGGACGGCACCCGUCCCGGUGGCGGCGCAAAGCGCGGCUCCCUCGCGAGCACGGCGCAACAACGCCCACGUCGGCAACGGCCGACGCACGGCGGUUGACUCAUCAGGAUGCGGCCGCACCCGACACCACGCCUCCCUGCCGGUCCUUCGUGAGGACGCCCUCCGGCGCACGCGGGGGGAAGUUCGCUCCAUCCUGCCAUCGAGACGGCGGAAGCCACAGGCGCGGACUCGGCGCCCGGCAAGCCCUUCGCCACCGUGCUGUUCCCCAGCGACGUAUACGAAUCAUCCAUGGGGAACCUCACGGGAGAAAGAGGAUAACCUUAUCCCUUCGUUGAUUUUCAGUUUCAGCCAAUCUAUUGCUCUUAUUCUCAAAUUAGUCUUUCUUUAA